UUUCCUUCACCUCUGCCCUCUCUCUCGCCGUCUCUACCAAAUGGAUUUAAAGUUUUUUUUUUUCCUUUUGUCGACGAAGUAGAAGAGAUGCAGAGGAAGAGAAGAAGGAAAAUAAUUUCCAUUAUGCGAAGUGGUUUUGGCUGCGUCUGCUGCGGCUGUUACAUCGAGUUCUACAAAUAGAUUCGAAGCUUUAGAAGAGGGGAUUGAGAAGGUACCGUGAACAUGUUGUAUGGGGAGACAAAGAGGAGAAGACAAAACUCCUUAGGAAGGGUAUUCUAACUCGCAUUUAUUCACCAAUGGUUGUUAUACAAGCAUUAAAAGAAUCUGGUGUCUUCAGCUCGGUUGUCUCAUCAGUUUCUACAAAUCUUUCAAAGAAAAAGUUCUUAUCAUCAAUUCACAAAAGCAACUCAUCCAGGUCUACUGCAUUUGACUCCCUUCCAGCAAAGGAAAACAAGUCUGAAGGCAUCUCUGCAAGGCACCUUCUUGGGGCUGAAUCAGCAGUCCCUCCUCUAUCGCCACCUGGGAUGGAACAUGCUAGAUUUUUCACAGAGGAAUAGCAGGUUUUAGUACCGAGCUGAUGUAUUCGCUUUCACUGAUAUCGAUAUUGGGUUCAAUAUGAGUGCUGUGUAGCUUUAGGAAGCCAAGUGAAGGGAUUGGGACAAAGAAGAGUGAAGAAAGCGGGUUUGUGUUUCUUAUGAUCAUCUUGAGAGACAUAGGGUUCUCUUAUCUCAUUUUACACUCCUGCAACUUAUGAUAGAUAAGUUUGCAGAAUAUUUCUCUUGCCAAUGUUAUUUCUAUGUAAGUUUAUUACCAUUUACAGAACUUCAAAGUGCCAGGCUUAUUAUCGCAAUAAUAAAUGCCUACAAUGUUCAUUAUC